AAUAUUGGACAAUGGGCGCAAGCCUGAUCCAGCCAUGCCGCGUGAGUGAUGAAGGCCGUAGGGUUGUAAAGCUCUUUCAUMSGGGAAGAUAAUGACGGUACCCCAAGAAGAAGCCCCGGCUAACUUCGUGCCAGCAGCCGCGGUAAUACGAAGGGGGCGAGCGUUUUUCGGAAUUACUGGGCGUAAAGCGCGCGUAGGCGGRUCUUUAAGUCAGGGGUGAAAUCCCGGGGCUCAACCCCGGAACUGCCUUUGAUACUGSSGAUCUWGAGUUCGGGAGAGGGGAGUGGAAUUCCGAGUGUAGAGGUGAAAUUCGUAGAUAUUGGGAAGAACACCAGUGGCGAAGGCGGCUCACUGGCCCGAUACUGACGCUGAGGCRCGAAAGCGUGGGGAGCAAACAGGAUUAGAUACCCUGGUAGUCCACGCCGUAAACGAUGAAAGCCAGCCGUU
rnacentral:rRNA from 1 species